AGGAGCAUGGCUGAGUAACUACAUACCCAAGCUCAGUCGGGAAGCAAGCGGACUCCCUCUGGGGGUGAAGCUGUGUGAACGAGCGGCGGACGGGUGAGUAACACGUGGGCAACCUGCCUGUAAGACCGGAAUAACCCCGGGAAACCGGGGCUAAUGCCGGGUAACACCUACCUUCGCAUGAAGGAAGGUUAAAAGAUGGCUUCUUGCUAUCACUUACAGAUGGGCCCGCGGCGCAUUAGCUAGUUGGUGAGGUAACAGCUCACCAAGGCGACGAUGCGUAGCCGACCUGAGAGGGUGAUCGGCCACACUGGGACUGAGACACGGCCCAGACUCCUACGGGAGGCAGCAGUAGGGAAUCUUCCGCAAUGGACGAAAGUCUGACGGAGCAACGCCGCGUGAACGAUGAAGGUCUUCGGAUCGUAAAGUUCUGUUGUUAGGGAAGAACAAGUACCGUGCGAAUAGAGCGGUACCUUGACGGUACCUAACGAGGAAGCCCCGGCUAACUACGUGCCAGCAGCCGCGGUAAUACGUAGGGGGCAAGCGUUGUCCGGAAUUAUUGGGCGUAAAGCGCGCGCAGGCGGUUUCUUAAGUCUGAUGUGAAAGCCCACGGCUCAACCGUGGAGGGUCAUUGGAAACUGGGGAACUUGAGGACAGAAGAGGAGAGUGGAAUUCCACGUGUAGCGGUGAAAUGCGUAAAUUGUGGAGAACACAGUGGAAAGGGAAUCUCUGGUUGUUUCUAACUAGGUGAAAGGGGUAAAAGGAUUAAACGUUUCACCCAAAUAUUGUUAGGUCCCCUAUGUACAUAACCGGGAGCGAUAAAGAGUCGGGAUAGACGAAAGAUUAAGCUUGGGUUUCUA
rnacentral:rRNA from 1 species